rnacentral:rRNA from 1 species
UACGAAGGGGGCUAGCGUUGCUCGGAAUCACUGGGCGUAAAGGGCGCGUAGGCGGCUUUGCAAGUGACGGGUGAAAUCCCUCGGCUUAACCGAGGAACUGCCUGUCAAACUGCAUGGCUUGAGACCGGGAGAGGUGAGUGGAAUUCCCAGUGUAGCGGUGAAAUGCGUAGAUAUUGGGAGGAACACCAGUGGCGAAGGCGGCUCACUGGACCGGUACUGACGCUGAUGCGCGAAAGCGUGGGGAGCAAACAGG